rnacentral:rRNA from 1 species
GACAGAGGUGCCGAGCGUUAGGCGGAAUCACUGGGCUUAAAGCGUGUGUAGGCGGGUCGUUAAGUGCCUUGUGAAAUCCCACCGCUCACCGGUGGAACUGCUUGGCAUACUGGCGAUCUUGAGCCACUUAGGGGCAACCGGAACAAACGGUGGAGCGGUGAAAUGCGUAGAUAUCGAUCGAUGACGCCAGAGGUGAAAGCAGAUGACUGGGUCGUGGGGCGCCUGACGUG